rnacentral:rRNA from 1 species
AUACGUAGGGGGCGAGCGUUGUCCGGAAUGAUUGGGCGUAAAGGGCGCGUAGGCGGCCUGUUAAGUCUGGAGUGAAAGUCCUGUUUUCAAGAUGGGAAUUGCUUUGGAUACUGAUGGGCUUGAGUGCAGGAGAGGUUAUCGGAAUUCCCGGUGUAGCGGUGAAAUGCGUAGAGAUCGGGAGGAACACCAGUGGCGAAGGCGGCUAACUGGACUGCAACUGACGCUGAGGCGCGAAAGUGUGGGGAGCAAACAGGAUUAGAUACCCUGGUAGUCCACACUGUAAACGAUGAAUGCUAGGUGUAAGAGGUAUCGACCCCUUUUGUGCCGGAGUUAACACAAUAAGCAUUCCGCCUGGGGAGUACGGCCGCAAGGUUGAAACUCAAAGGAAUUGACGGGG